UGCAUGCUACAUAAACUGCAGGUAACAUCAAUGUCCUUCUUGUAUCUAACCAAAACAGUCUUAAUAGGGUAAUAACGAUGAUGUCACACCGCGGUGAGGGAAGUCUUGUCUUGGUUUUUCUGUCUUGUGGUUUACGUGUUUUAUUUUGAAAAGCUACCAUCUUGUUUCAGAUCACGGGCCCUUCCUCUUGUGUCACCAGUCUGACGUCAUCCCUGAUCCCUGAUUGUUUCCACCUGUUUCCCAUCAUACCCAUAUCCUAUUUAAGCUCACGCCUCUCCUCUUGUCCUGUGCCAGAUCGUCUCGCCUAUCGUGCCUUUCUAGCGUCCAUGUCCAUGAAAACCUCCUUGUCUUGCUCCUUUUUCCCCUGGUUCUCCUUUUUGGAUCAAGCAGUCGUUUGCUGUAAUUUUGAGUUUACUUUUUUCCUCCCUCGAGCGCCCUUUGUUAUCCUUCGUCUACCUAAUUGAUGAGGUGGUUCAGGAAUCUGGUCAAGAUGUCCCCCAAACACCUUCUUGGCGAGGCCGCGAAGAAGACACAGGACACAUUAGAGGGACUAUGUCUCCCAGCUGGCCUAGGAACAUCUUAGGAUCCUCCGGCAGGAGCUAGAAACAAUGGCUGGGGAGAGAGACUGCUUCUUUGCUUUGGCUGCUGCCCCCGCGUCCCCACCUCGGAUAAGUGGAAGAAGAUGAAUGGAUGGUGUAAUUCAGUGGUUCUCAACCUUUUUUCAGUGAUGUACCCCCGUGAACAUUUUUCUAAUUCAAGUACCCCCUAACCAGAGCAAAGCAUUUUUGGUUGAAAAAAAGAGAUAAAGAAGUAAAAUACAGCACUAAGUCAUCAGUUUCUGAUUUAUUAAAUUGUAUAACAGUGCAAAAUAUUGCUGUUUUGUAGUGGUCUUUCUUGAACUAUUUGGAAAAAAAGAUAUAAAAACUACUAAAAACUUGUUGAAAAAGAAGUGAUUCAAUUAUAAAUAAAGAUGUCAACACAUAGAAGUAAUCAUCAACUUAAAGUGCACUCUUUGGGGAUUGUAAUAGAGAUCUAUCUGGAUUCAUGAACUUAAUUCGAUAAAUUUCUUCACAAAAAAAGAAAUCUUUAACAUCAAUAUUUAUGGAACAUGUCCACAAAAAAAUCUAGCUGUCAACACUGAAUAUUGCAUUGUUGCAUUUCUUUUCACAGAUUUUGAACUUACAUUCAUAUUUUGUUGAAGUAUUAUUCAAUAAAUUUAUAAAUGAUUUUUGAAUUGUUGCUAUUUUUAGAAUAUUUUUUAAAAAUCUCACGCACCCCUUGGCAUACCUUCAAGUACCCCCAGGGGUACGCGUACCCCCAUUUGAGAACCACUGGUGUAAAUGGACCCCAAAGCAGACACUCACUGAGAGGUCAAUACCAAAUAAUUGAUUAACAAAAGGAGCACACAGGUGUGAAAAAAAUCUAAUUCCAAAAGAGUAACAAAAGCUUUUGCUGCCGUGAAAAACAAAAAGUGUGGGAAAAAUAAGGUAGGAAAAAAGGGGCUAGGCCACUGAACAAAACCUGGCAAAAGGUCAGAAGAGCCAGAAGUGAAAAACAGACAAGUCAGGCAAAGAAAGAAAGAGAGGGGGGGAGAGAGAGAGAGAUUAUACAGUAUGUACAGUAUGCUCCCAUAUAUAUACAGAGAAUCCUACUCAUCCUAAAUGUACAAUGUAUAAUACUCAUUAUUUCAUUAUUUAAAAAGAGAUGGCGCGCUUAUCUAAUCUUUUGUGUGCGUGUGUGUGUGUAAACAUAAAACUAACUAAAUAAUUGGUAUCGGAUCGAUACCCAAAUUUGUGGUAUCACCCACAACUAAUGUAACGUAUCCAAACAACAGAAUAAUAAGUGACUCUUACAUUUUAACAGAAGUGUAGAUAGAACAUGUUGAAACAGAAAGUAAGCAGAUAUUAACAGUAAAUGAACAUGUAGAAUAAUAAUCGAUUUUCUACCGCUUGUACUCCAUAAUUUUGACAAAAUUGAAUUGAAUAGAAUGAUAAAUAACACAAAAUGUUACCACAGAUGUCAGCAGACUAAUUAGGAGCCUUUGUUUGUUUACUUACUAAUAAAAGACAAGUUGUCUUGUAUGUUCACUAUUUUAUUUAGGACAACAUUUUUCUUGGAUUGCAACAAGAAACAUAUGUUUAAUGCACCCCAUGUUUUUUUGGUUAAAUAAAGCCAAUAAUGCAA